CUUUGUUUUGCUGCAGUGUUCAUUAGAGACCGUAGGUGAGGAGUUUUAUUUCAAAUAUAGAUACUUCUCGCUGAGGUUAUCCUGUUUGUUGUGGCGGCUUAUUGACCUCGGUGAUUUAUCACUGGGAAAAAAGCUGGAGGGAGGAGUAGGAGGGUAGAAUAGCUCCUAAAAAUAAAUAUAUCCGUUAAUUCUCUGUUCGCCUAACCUCUCCCUCACCGGCCAGCUGGAGGAAUAGACUUUUAAUCUCCUUCAUCUGAGGCUGAGGCGAUCAACCUCCACCCGGCGUUUUAAGGGCAGCACGUUUUGUAAAGGGGGGUGGGAAGAGAAAUAAGCACGAAAAAGGAAGAUAUUUGCCUGACAAAAAGGGGAGGAGGCGGAGGCAGCUUCACAAAAUGGCGGCGGCCAGGCGACAAAAUGGCGCCGGGCGGCCAGCGCGGGGAGGAAGAUGGAGGAGCCGCGGCCGGGCGGGCACCGCGGCCGUGCCAGGAGCGCGGCGGAGGGGCUGCUCUUGAUGGGUGGAAAACACCGCUUCUCUCUCUCCUCACGGCAUGGAAAAUACCGAAACACGCUUUAGGAGAAAAAAAUAACACAGCAACAACCCCCAAACAGCUGAGGAUUGAUGUAUCUUCAGGGAAGAAGCCGUCGCCGCUCGCCUGGCUCCUCACGACAACCUGCCCGCCAUUUGCUUAAUUAAAAGCAUAUACUUGAUGUGAUCAGAUGUGGUAAUACCGUAAAAAAAAAAACCCAAACCAAACCAAAAUACCCCGUAACAUCCAAACGCUCGUUGUUGGAGGCUGCAGCCAAGCUCGGCUGCUUAUUCCAGAAGUUUCUACAGGGGAGGGAGCACCCACUGCGGAGCCUUUGCCGCAGCGCCGGGAGGAGAUGCCGAGGAUGCGCCACCUCUCCCCUUCCCAAGCCUCCCCCCUUCGCUCAAUUUUCCCCAUCCUUGGGAAAAAAACGCUGCUGGGAGGUGUGUUAAGGGUGUUUUUUAUUAAAAAAUCUUCCUCCUUCCCCCUCCCCACUUUGCUAAAUGAAUUAAAAGCAGCGCUGUCUCCCGAUGGAGAUGGAUGAGGCUGCUCGCUCGCACGCUCCGCUGCAGCCUCCGGCUGCCCCAGCGAGGGGACCGCGGCCACAAGUGACCUUCCCCAGGUGCCCCGACACGCUGCUGCUUGGGAUUCAUUUUAAAUAGGCUUAUUAUUUUUUAUCUCCCCCCUCCCCUUAAAGAACAGUUCGCUCUUUCAGUGAUUCUUUUUUCUUGACGCUUCUUCAUGAUCCUUUUUUUUUGUGUGUGUGUUUUGAAUUGCGUCUUAAAACUGCCCAGCUGGAGACAGGUCUCGAUUAGAGCUGGAACAAUAGUUCCGUUUUAUUAAUAACGGGAAGGAUUUACAAUCCUCCAGCACCUUCCUUGGAAGGCUUUCAGGAAUCAUUUGCAAACACGCACACAUUUAAGAUCCCGCAGCCAAGGGCUGGGAGGUGGGUAAGUAUGUGAAUGGUGCCACCGCCAAAAAUCGCGUCGGUGGCCAAUCUGCCUUUCCGAGUGCUGAAAAAAAGACAGAUUGGGUGGGUUCUAGGGCUGUGACCUCAAUCUGUCCCGUGUUCUCUGUAGAUGCCGAUUGUUUUGCUGCAUCCUGAGAACUGGGCUGUACAGAGGACCGCGCCGCCUUGCCGGAGCGGAGCUGUGGACUCGCUUGCUGCUCAGUAAACAUCUGCUUAUAGAUCUUUAUUUCUUUGAUUAUCUUUUUCUAAUUCAUUACCUUUUUGCAGUCCCCAAGCGACCUCCUUUAGUGCUGGCUCCGCUGUGGUUUGACCGCAGCUUCGCGUUAAAGCGCUAAUGUGUCUAAUGACCUUGCUUGGGGACCGGGCCCACCGGGCUGCUGCGGAUGCUCCGUUUCCAUUACAGAACCCCACACGCCGUGUUUUCCCAUUUUUCCAACGCAUCCUUCCCUCGCCUGGGAAUGUUGCAAUAUUAUAGUGUCUUCUGCCUUAUUUUUUGUCCUUUUCCCCCCCUCUUUCCUAGGGAUACACAGGAUUGUGUAACCCAUGGCAGAUGUAACCAUCUCAGAGCUGUCUGGGCAGUCGGAUCUGGCCUUGCUGAGACACGGGUUGUGUAAGUGGCGUGUUGUACACAGGCCACAAAACCCCACAACAUUUCAGUGGUUACGUCUGUCUGGGAGAGCGUGAGUAGGUCCCAGGGCUUCCCCUUCCCACCGCUUUGCCGGUUCACAAAACGAGAGGCUGAUGCUUCUGGAAAAAGCUCUGCCUUGUGGCCUUUAAAAAAAAAAACCUGCUGUGGAUUAGUCAUCCUUGUUUUUAAAGGAAGCUGCGUUUGCCAGCCCUGGCCGUGUAACGCGUGUGUGUUAUCAACCAUUGGGUUUAUUUGCUGGUAAGGUGCUGGGCUCUCUGGGGCGGCGCCACCGCGGCUCCCUCGAGCUGUUCCCGGCGGGUGGAAGAGCCACCACGGUCCAGCUUUUCAUGCCCUUCCCUCCAUUCUCUUGUUUUUCAGCGCUGGAAAUGUGGAGAACGCACCAAACGCACGUGGGGACAGACAAACGUAUUCUGGGGUCACUUCAACUCCGGAGGAGAAGCCCUGGGAUGUGUUGGUUUGGAGAUGCUCCUUGUGCUCACCGGAGGUACCAAGAAGCUGCUUGUUGGGGAUGUUUCCACGUUUUUGAGGUUGGCAACACCCCGUGGGACUCGGAAUUAACUUUUCUUUGGUAGUCGAGGACAAACGAGUGAGAAUCACCUUGGGAGCGCUGAACUUUUACCCCCCUCUCCUUCGGACUGAAGAGCUUCUAGAACUACAUCGGUGAGGCUUCCAAGUUAAACAAAACCUGAAUUCCCGCUGCCAAAGAGCAAGCGAGCGAUAGAAACCUCCACAUCUCCUCCGUGAGGGGGGACACCGCGGUCUCCCGAGAUUAUUCUGGUAUCCCCAAGAGUUAAAAAUGCUGCAUCGUGAGACCUGCGGAGGUCAAACGAAAGCCAGAGCUCACCGAGAAACUGUGCUCCGUAUCGCUCAAGGGGUUUUUGAGCAUAGCAGGUCUCCACGCACCAUUAUUUUUGUGUCUUUGUCAGGACCAAAGGAGCGAUAACCGUGUGUUCAGUCUGCUUUGUUUAAAACACCGUCGAGUUGCUUUGCUAUCAAAAUGGUGUCUGGUGAAAGAAAAGCUCUGGUGGUGGCUGGCUCGGUGGUUAUUUUGUGCCAACCGAUCCCUCGUGGCUUUGGGCUGUGGGUUCGUGUUAAACCCUUGUCCUCCAGCGUAAUGUCUGAUUUUUCUUGCACACGGGGCCCUUAAGUAGAGAUAAUAAACCAAUCAGGCGUUAAAAAUGGCAAAGUACAGAUACACCGAUACCUCCAGCCCUAGAGGAUUUACAUCUUUGCAGUGGUUGUGUUCAGGUAUCAAAUCACAUGGGCCUUGCUUUUCUUGGGUGUAUUUCCUUUGUUUUACCCCUAAAAUUUCAUAUCUUGCAUCCUAAAAGACCAAAGUCCUCUGUGUUUAGCUGCGUUUGGGAAAAGCUCAAGCGAGGUGAGCGGGUACGGUUCUUCGGUACGUGAUCACACACAAGUUGGGGGCGAGAGGAAGGAGGGCAGAAGCUGGCACGGUGCUAUUUCUAAUUUUUCCCAACAACAGGCAAAAAAAAAUAGGUAUUAAAUCGAAUAUAUUUACUACAUUAUAAGCAAGAAUAAGCCCUUUUGCAGCCCUGUGAUGGCACGUGGUGUUUUGGUUGCGUGGCUCAGCGAUCGCGCUGCGCUCUGCUGCUGACAAAACGUCUCCGUUCUGUAUGGCGAAGUGUUUUGAAAACAGAAAUGUGCUUUUCUAGAUGUACAAACGGGUUCGGUGUCAACGCAGUUCCGGGGGUUCCUGAGCUGUGGUUACCGGGCUGCAGACGGUAACCGCUGCGAACCCGCUGGCUAUGCUGGUGGUAUUUUGUGGCAGCUCCCAUCGCCGGUGCGGUGUGGAUAAGAACUCUAAAUAGGAAAAAGCGCUAGAAAAUAAAAUUACUAACUAUUAAGUUUCACAAACGUGAUGGGAGUCUGCUGGGUAGAGUUAUCUCGUCGUGAAGCUUUGGAGCGCUGACUCUCAGAGAGGAAAGAACCGAAAUCGAGAGCUUUAUUAAUACAAAUCCUGUACUUUGUGUUGCUUAGGAUCCAGGAGCAGGCUCGGUGUUCAAAGCGUUAUCGGCAUGUGAGCCAGUAUCCUCCGUCUUGGCAACAAAUGAGCCCAAAUAUCAAACAGCGCCGAUUCCUUCUUGGAGAAAAUUAUCCAUUGCAUAAAACAUAAUGGGGCUGGUUUGCCUGCAAAUGGAGCCCCCAAAGCGCUUGUUUCAACCCCUCUUCUGCCAGCAGAGGCGAUGGUUUGGGUGCGAUCGUGGACGUCCCUCCCGAUGGUGUGACAGCCGUGACCCUGCAUGACUCUCCAUGGCAGGACCCGUGGGUUUCUCGUGUCCCUCGGAGCUGCCACCCUGGUAACGCCGUCACAGCAAGGACACUCCAUCGGAGAGGGGAGAAUUCGGCGUCAAAAAGCCAUUUGAUGCGUGGUUUGGGUUUCUUCUUCUCCGAAAUCUAAGGUAGUGACACAUAGCGAUGGCUCUUUGGGCUUUCGACCAGUGAAAACACACAAAGUUAAGCCCAUUUCCACGGAGAACCGCGGAAAGCGCUGGUGGAGCACGUCGGCAGCGCAUUUUCUCAUUUAUUUCUCAUAACAAACUUUGCGUGCAAAGAGUUGUUGGGGUUUUUUAUUAUGAAUCGGUAGAUCUGUUUGGCGGAGCAGCGUCAUCGCUGGGGAAACUGAGGCACGGCGCUGGGCUGGGCCGCAGCAGCGCUGGGUCCAGCAAGGCUCGAGUCAGAGCUCUGAUUCAAUCGAGAGAUGAGCACGUUUGUUAAACCACCCAGAACUCCGUGACUUUGGCCAGUUCUCCAGGUGGACUCGGUGGCAAAGGCGGCAAAGUCGAGCGCCGCUCGCCCCAACAAAUAAAAGUGGUUUUGAUGGAUAGAAAA